AGAACGAACGCUGGCGGCAGGCCUCAAACAUGCAAGUCUAGGGGGCGUAGCAAUACGUCACCGGCGGACGGGUGCGUAACACGUGGGAAUGUACUUACUGGUUCGGAACAACUCAGGGAAACUUGAGCUAAUACCGAAUGUGCCCGAAAGGGGAAAGAUUUAUCGCCAGUAAAUCAGCCCGCGUCCGAUUAGCUAGUUGGUGGGGUAAAGGCCCACCAAGGCGACGAUCGGUAGCUGUUCUGAGAGGAAGAUCAGCCACACUGGGACUGAGACACGGCCCAGACUCCUACGGGAGGCAGCAGUUGGGAAUCUUGGACAAUGGGGGAAACCCUGAUCCAGCCAUGCCGCGUGAGUGAUGAAGGCCUUGGGUUGUAAAACUCUUUACGACGGGGACGAUAAUGACGGUACCCGUAGAAGAAGCUCCGGCUAACUUCGCGCCAGCAGCCGC
rnacentral:rRNA from 1 species